ACUCGUCUGGUAGACGGCGGUGGGACAAGCAAAGGAAGAGUCGAAAUAUUCUAUCCGGACAGAUGGGGUACAAUUUGCACAAGAGGUAUAGGCAAGGGAGUAUCAGAUGUUCUGUGCAGGUCACUUGGUUUCUCUGGAGGUUGCAGUCUGAACACAACAUCGGGAAGUCAUCGUGCACGUUUUCCACGUGGCGACGGAAAUAUUCUUUUUGAAAAUGUCAGCUGCCAUGGAAACGAAGAUAGUAUUCUCAAAUGCAACUUCAGUUAUGUUGGUGAGGACAGUGACUGCUCGCACGAAGAUGACCUUGGUAUCAUCUGCGAAGAUGAUUCACUUCAUGCUGGAGAAGCUGGGGAAACUGGAGAUUUAUUUACUAGAAAUGAGGUAGAUGUUGAAGGGAAUGCGGGAGAAAAUGUGAUGGAUAUGAAAGGGAAUGUGGAGGGGAAU